rnacentral:miRNA from 1 species
AUCUCUUACACAGGCUGACCGAUUUCUCCUGGUGUUCAGAGUCUGUUU